UACGUAGGGUGCGAGCGUUAAUCGGAAUUACUGGGCGUAAAGCGUGCGCAGGCGGUUCGUUAUGUCCGUUGUGAAAGCCCCGAGCUCAACUUGGGAAUGGCAUUGGAAACUGGCGGGCUGGAGUGUGGCAGAGGGGGGUGGAAUUCCACGUGUAGCAGUGAAAUGCGUAGAGAUGUGGAGGAACACCGAUGGCGAAGGCAGCCCCCUGGGCCAACACUGACGCUCAGGCACGAAAGCGUGGGGAGCAAACAGG
rnacentral:rRNA from 1 species